rnacentral:rRNA from 1 species
GACGAACGCUGGCGGCGUGCCUAACACAUGCAAGUCGAGCGGGGGGAGUACUUCGGUACAAACCUAGCGGCGGACGGGUGAGUAACACGUGGGUAACCUGCCUCAAAGUGGGGGAUAGCCUUCCGAAAGGAAGAUUAAUACCGCAUAACCCAUAGCUUCCGCAUGGAAGCAAUGGUAAAGAUUUAUCGCUUUGAGAUGGACCCGCGGCGCAUUAGCUAGUUGGUGGGGUAACGGCACACCAAGGCCACGGUGCGUAGCCGACCUGAGAGGGGGAUCGGGCACAAUGGAACUGAGACACGGUCCAGACUCCUACGGGAGGCAGCAGUGGGGAAUAUUGCACAAUGGGCGAAAGCCUGAUGCAGCAACGCCGCGUGAGUGAUGAAGGCCUUCGGGUUGUAAAGCUCUGUCUUUUGGGACGAUAAUGACGGUACCAAAGGAGGAAGCCACGGCUAACUACGUGCCAGCCGCCGCAGUAACAC